rnacentral:rRNA from 1 species
UGGGGAAUUUUGGACAAUGGGCGAAAGCCUGAUCCAGCCAUGCCGCGUGCAGGAUGAAGGCCUUCGGGUUGUAAACUGCUUUUGUACGGAACGAAAAGACUCCUUCUAAUAAAGGGGGUCCAUGACGGUACCGUAAGAAUAAGCACCGGCUAACCACGUGCCAGCAGCCGCGGUAAUACGUAGGGUGCGAGCGUUAAUCGGAAUUACUGGGCGUAAAGCGUGCGCAGGCGGUUAUAUAAGACAGUUGUGAAAUCCCCGGGCUCAACCUGGGAACUGCAUCUGUGACUGUAUAGCUAGAGUACGGUAGAGGGGGAUGGAAUUCCGCGUGUAGCAGUGAAAUGCGUAGAUAUGCGGAGGAACACCGAUGGCGAAGGCAAUCCCCUGGACCUGUACUGACGCUCAUGCACGAAAGCGUGGGGAGCAAACA